rnacentral:rRNA from 1 species
AACGAACGCUGGCGGCAUGCCUAACACAUGCAAGUCGAACGAAGGCUUCGGCCUUAGUGGCGCACGGGUGCGUAACGCGUGGGAAUCUGCCCUUUGGUUCGGAAUAACAGCUGGAAACGGCUGCUAAUACCGGAUGAUGACGAAAGUCCAAAGAUUUAUCGCCAGAGGAUGAGCCCGCGUUGGAUUAGGUAGUUGGUGGGGUAAAGGCCUACCAAGCCGACGAUCCAUAGCUGGUCUGAGAGGAUGAUCAGCCACGCUGGGACUGAGACACGGCCCAGACUCCUACGGGAGGCAGCAGUGGGGAAUAUUGGACAAUGGGCGCAAGCCUGAUCCAGCAAUGCCGCGUGAGUGAUGAAGGCCCUAGGGUUGUAAAGCUCUUUUACCCGGGAAGAUAAUGACGGUACCGGGAGAAUAAGCCCCGGCUAACUCCGUG